GUUACCAGGUGAUCAGCAGAGUUGUUCCUCUCCCAGAUGUUACCGGUGAUCAGCAGAGUUGUUCUCCUCUCCCAGAUGUUACCAGGUGAUCAGCAGAGUUGUUCUCCUCUCCCAGAUGUUACCUGGUGAUCAGCAGAGUUGUUCCCCUCUCCUAGAUGUUACCAGGUGAUCAGCAGUUGUUCCUCUCCCAGAUGUUACCAGGUGAUCAGCAGAGUUGUUCUCCUCUCCCAGAUGUUACCAGGUGAUCAGCAGUUGUUCCUCUCCCAGAUGUUACCAGGUGAUCAGCAGAGUUGUUCUUCUCUCCCAGAUGUUACCAGGUGAUCAGCAGAGUUGUUCCUCUCUCCCAGAUGUUACCAGGUGAUCAGCAGAGUUGUUCUCCUCUCCCAGAUGUUACCAGGUGAUCAGCAGAGUUGUUCUCCUCUCCCAGAUGUUACCAGGUGAUCAGCAGAGUUGUUCUCCUCUCCCAGAUGUUACCAGGUGAUCAGCAGAGUUGUUCUCCUCUCCCAGAU